UGGGGAAUAUUGCACAAUGGGCGAAAGCCUGGUGCAGCGACGCCGCGUGGAGGAUGACGGUCUUCGGAUUGUAAACUCCUGUUAAGUGGGAAGAAAGACUCAUAAGUAAUAUGUAUGAGGGAUGACGGUACCACUAGAGAAAGCUCCGGCUAACUUCGUGCCAGCAGCCGCGGUAAU
rnacentral:rRNA from 1 species